rnacentral:lncRNA from 1 species
GUACUUUCAUUUCUACUUAUUUCAGUCGAAACAAAUUGAUAACGCCAUGAAUUAGUGGAUGAGAUCUUUAAAAUAAAUUCAAUAGCUAAAAAAGGGCUAAAUCUACGACACUGAAUAUGAGUAUGACAUGAACAAUUAACUGAAACAAAACUAAUAAUGCCACAGAUCAACAAAGAUAGAGUAUCUGAACAAUUUUAUGGCUAAAAUGCUAGAUCUAUAAAAUUACAAACAAUUGUAGCACAAACAACCAGAAAAUUUGAUGAGAACGACCAAAUAAAAAUUUGAAGUUCGAGGAUGAAAAGCAAGCUAUCGAACAACAACAAACAACAUCAAUCUUCAGAGGCUUGUCACUCGAAUUAUUCUUUGGAACCCGAAAAUUUCAUGAUGAACAUACAGUAACUAGAAACCUUUGAAAAUCCCUUUGAAUCCUACUGUUCUUCAAUUUCGAAAUCCUCUCUUCUUUUCUCUUUUUUUUUUGAUUUUUUUUUUCGGAUCUCUAUUUGAGGAUUUCGAGCUUUGAAUUUAGCUGCUAUUGUGUGUAAGUCGUGUGCGAUUGAGUGUGUUUGUGGGUGAAGUGCAAGUGAGAGAGCGACGAAGGGGAGGCGAGCAACUUAGUUCUGGUUGUAAAAGGGAAGGAGUUUCGUUUCUAUGGAAUUGGGGAUGGGGGUGACGGUUAGGGUUCCAAAAAUGGGGGGAGGGUUUCGUCCGUCUUCUCUUGAGAGCAUCAGGUGACAACUAGGUUUUUAGGUUAAGGUGGGGUGGAUCCGUUCUCCUCUCUUUAUAAUGGGGAAUAAGGUUGUUUUAAUGAAUGGGGAGAGGGGAUUGGGCCAGGCGGACGGGUUUGGGGCGAGAAUUGGGUCGUUUAUCAUUGGCCCAGUUUGAAAAACAAAGUAAAUAGCCUUUUUCUUUCCUAGUCUAAAUGUUUUCUAAAUUGACCAAUCUAAUUCUAGUUAAAGCUAACUUUACAAAAUUAACCUAAUUAUCUAUUUUCUAACAAUUAACUAACUUGUUUAACUAAAAUUCAUGUAAGAUGACUAAUGUAUUUUGGAUAUUUUAGUGUUUUAUAAAUGCAAUUAAUUAUACAAUUAAAAUCUAAACAUGUAAAAAUUAAAUUAUUUUUGUUAUGUUUUUUAAGAUUUAAAAAGCUACUAAAAAUGCACCAAACACAAAUACGCAUGAAGCAAAUCAAGUAAAAUAAAUAAAAAUUCCUAAUAUUCGAUCAAAUAAUUAAAAGCUAUUUAUUUGAGAUUUUUUAGGAGUAAUUUUAUAUAUUGGGCAAAACUUACGUGCUCACAGCUGCCCCUCUUUGCUCGAGAACAUGAAAGUUUUCGGGCAAAGAUAAAGUGAGCAAUUACGAGCAAUCUUUGCCCAUUUAACACUCCAUGGGAAGCAUUUUGAAAACGUUUGACCGAACCUUGUUUCAGAGAUUGCCUACAUAUCCUUGGCUAUAAAGGAAUCAGGUCAGUGUAGUUUGGGAAGUUUUGGUAGUUGGGACUACCGGAAAGCUGUGAUUUCACUGAUGUUGCUGCUGUUUACUGCUUGCUGAGCUCCUUAUUAUACCAAAGUUAAAAUGAAAAAGAAACUAACUAAGCCUAUCCGCUAUGAGUUACAAAAUUCCUAUCUAUAAGUCUUCUGAAGCUUGAUCUUGAGUCUUGAAUGGUUCUUCAUGCAGACUAUUAAUUCGAACCUUGAUGCUCGCUAGCUACAUGUGUUAGUUCAUUCUUCUAUGACUUCUUCUGAUUAAAAAUGGGGAAUGCAGUGCUCGUGACUUCAGUCAUAUCUUGAGCAGUUCAUAUCUUUCAUCUGCUUCUACAUCUUACGUUCACUUUCUUUUUUCUUUUCUUUUCUUUUCUUUAUUUUGGAUUGAGAUUUCUUCUUAUGGUUAUCUCGAACCACGUGCCUCGAGGUAAAACCUGCUCAGACACCAAAACAAACAAACGAACAAAAAAUUUUUCCCCCAGUUUACACUAGGAAAAUUUCGUGAGUUUUUUGUAACAAAACUCUUUUCUACUUCAUUAUUGAAAGCAAUAAAAGGGUCGUGAAUGGUGUACCCGGAGAAAACAUGAUUCUUUGGGAAUGGUUUACCCUGAUUGUCAAAAUGGUGCCCAACUAGGGAGUGAAAAACCCUAUGUUGGAAAAGAGACUAGGGAAUGGAGACCCUAUGUCUAAAAUAAAAUCAACUAGGGAGUGGAGACCCUAUGUCUAAAAUAAAAUCAAAUAGGGAGUGGAGGCCCUAUGUUGGAAAAGCGAUUAGGGAGUGGAGACCCUAUGUCUAAAAUAAAAUCAAAUAGGGAGUGUAGACCUUAUGUUGUAAAAGCGACUAGGGAGUGGAGACCCUAUGUCUAAAAUAAAACCAACUAGGGAGUGGAGACCCUAUGUUAGAAAAUCGACUAGGGAGUGGAGACCCUAUGUCUAAAAUAAAAUCAACUAGGGAGUGGAGACUCUAUGUUGGAAAAGAGACUAGGGAGUGGAGAGACUAUGUCUAAAAUAAAUAUCAACUAGGGAGUGAAAACCCUAUGUUGGAAAACGCAGCUAGGGAUUGGUGUACCCUUUACUACCAUGAUUUUGAACUUUCCUUUUUUUUUUCCCCAUCAUUUUAAUAUUUGUUUUUUCAUUUUUUUUAAUUAUUCUUUAGAGAAUGAGUAAAUACGGGAAAGAAUUUGAAGUAGACUUCCCUUUUGGAGUUGUUUCUAGCUCCCGCGCUGUUUAUUCUCCUUCUUUUUUUUUUUUUGGUUGCACCUUCUUUUUGCAAGGUUGCUUUUGGGUUGCACAUGUUUCCUGUUUUUCAAACAAAGAACAAUUGUUAGUUUGAAACAGUGGUUGGUUUUGCGGCCUUGAGUGUUUCAGUUUCUUGAUCUUGGUCGGCUUCUCUGAUGAUAAUUUCACCUGCAAAUGCUAGUUUCCUGAAUACCGAUUGCACUUCUGUCCCCGGAGAACCUUUCGCUUUUCCAAACUUUACCUUGAUGGUUGGCCGCGUGGGACUUAACCUUUUUCAACUUUAUUUUGCCCUUGUGGGAAUUUUACUACUUCCAAGAGUUUUUAAUUUCAAAGCAUCAGCCACCAUGGCCAGUCGGGAUUGACUUGAUGCCCCUACUGAGGUUGGGUGCCUCUUGCAUAUAUUAGCUUGUUUCAAACGAAAGCCUUGUAAAUCAGUCUUGACAUCCCUUCUUUGCCUUAGUUUUGGAACAGAGUUAGAUCGAAAGGGAUUCAAAGAAAAACAAAUAAUGGAAUGGACAAUUGAAUUUAGACAAGAGGUAUCCCUUUCGGGGAAAGAAAAGAAGGACUUAUCUGAAGUACAUGCGGACUUCAAUGAACAUGACAUGCCUUUUGGACUUGAUGGCUGAUCUGUGUAAACCGUCUGUCUCUCAGAAAUUCACCAAAACUUUUUUCUUGAAACCGAGAAACCUUGCCCAGGACUGUGUCAAUGCCAAUGGAUGCAGGAAUCCUCUGUUUCGAUCAAUGGUGCCCUUUGCAGGUUUUCACCAACUGACCUCUCUCAUUUUUCUUCCCACCAUCGCCUUAUAGUGCUCUUCGCGAGUUUUCACUAACAAGACUCUCUCAUUUUGGUGGCAUCAGAUUCAAGUGAUUGUAUCCUCAAAUUCUUGAACAUUCUCAUUGAUUGAUCGGAAGGACUUGAAAAGGAUUUGGGUAAAAAAGAUUUGGAUUGAAUUAAAGCUUUGGAACCUUUCAGGCGAAACCACCGCCGAGCCAUUGUAACAUCUGCCCUUGUUUCAAUUUUUUAGAGAAUGUGGAUUUUUAUUUUGGUGUGACUGAACCCCAGAGAGAGGCUACUUACGUAUCCUUUCAGAAUUCUGAACCCUGAACCAGAGAUUCUGGGUUCGUUCCCCAGUAGAGUCGCCAGAGCUGUCACACCUUCUUUUUCCCGAGGGAUAGAGGAGUUUUUCAAUUAAAGUGACAUUAUUCGAAAUGAGAUUAUUUAUUUAAUUUAGAGUUGCCACUUGGAAUAAUUUAUGGUGUCCCAAGUCACCGGUUUAUUUUAAAAUCCCAAAUCGAGAAAAUUGACUCUAUUUUAUGGUCUGCGAACACAUAAGACCAGGUAAGAAAUUCUGUUAACCUGUGAGAAGGUGUGAGGCACUCCCGAGUUUCGUGGUUUUAUCACGAUCACUUAACAAUUAAUACUUGGCCUAAUUAUCUAAUUUAUUACCUGUUAUACACCUAUUGUGUAUUUUACCUUGGACCGUUUUUAAUUAUUUAUUUAACCGCUUUUAGUAUUUACGGAAUUUAUUUGAACAAGUUGUGAUGUCGCGCACUUGUUUGUUUUUGUACAUAUUGCGUAUCGCGUUACGUGAAGCGCACCCGCAAUUUAUAACAUGUUUAUUUAUUAUUAUUAUUAUUAUUAUUAUUAUUAUUUAAAGUUAUGGUCGAGUCAUGUGAAACGCACACUCGAAUUGGGGGAUUAUGUAUUAUGACUAUGCCACGGAAACCGUACCCAUAGUCACAAUAAUUUAUUAACCGCGCGUAAAGAAAGCUACGAAUAUUUAUAAGUUAUUUAUUUUCCUAAAGUUUGAGAUUAACAUGGAGUUCUUGGGAUUACGGGUAAGUCUGGUAAAAGAAGUGUGGCUUUGACUAUGAAAUGUUAGUAUAACCAAAUACCUUAUAAAUGAAUUCAUUACUAAUAUUUUUAUUCACAUAAUCUAAUUUGAACUAAAGCUAGUGUUUGACUUAAUCAUUGUCAGUUCUCCAAAAUGGGCCGAUUCAAAGUCGGGCCCAAAAGCAAAGCACUAGCAAUCUCAAUUUUUGCAGACUUAAUAUCUGUGCAUACAUAGUCACAUUUAGCAUUACAGGGAUUGUUACACUCAUAUGUAAUUCAAACAGAAAAAUCAUCAAGGCACUGCCAUUUGGAUAAUUAAUCAUCAAUUAUUUGUAUCGAACUAGCCCGUACUUCCAUUUCUACUUAUUUCAGUCGAAACAAAUUGAUAACGCCAUGAAUUAGUGGAGGAGAGCUUUAAAACAAAUUCAAUAGCUAAAAAAAGGCUAAAUCUACGACACUGAAUAUGAGUAUGACAUGAACAGUUAACUGAAACAAAACUAAUAAUGCCACAGAUCAAUAAAGAUAGAGUAUCUGAACAAUUUCAUGCCUAAAAUGCUAGAUCUAUAAAAUCACAAACAGUUAUAGCACAAACAACCAGAAUUUUUAUUCAUAAGCUCAAAGAGAGAGAAUAAGUGAAUAUACACAUACCUAGAAACAUAACUCAUAUGAGAACGACCAAAUGAAAAUUUGAAGUUCGAGGAUGAAAAGUAAGUUAUGGAAUAUCAACAAAACAACAACAAUCUUCAGAGGUUUUUCACUCGAAUUAUUCUUUGGUACCGGAAAUUUCAUGAUGAACAUAUAGUAACUAGAAACCUUAAAUCCCUUUGAAUCCUAUUGUUCUUCAAUUUUGAAGUCCCCUCUCUUCUUCUUUUUUUUUUUUGAUUUUCUUUUCGAAUCUCUAUUUGAGGAUUUCGAGCUUUGAAUUUAGCUGUUAUUGUGUGUAAGUCGUGUGCGAUUGAGUGUGUGUGGGUGAAGUGUAAGUGAGAGAGUGACGAAGGGGGAGGUGAGCCGUUUAGUUCUGGUUGUAAAAGUGAGGGAGUCUCGUUUCUAUGGAAUUGGGGAUGGGGGUGACGACUAGGUUUCCAAAAAUAGGGGGAGGGUUUCGUCUGUCUUCUCUUGAGAGCAUCAGGUGACAGCUAGGGUUUUAGGUUUGGGUUUGGGGGGGGGGGGGGGGUUGGAUCUG